GAACGCUGGCGGCGUGCUUAACACAUGCAAGUCGAACGAACCUUCGGGUUAGUGGCGGACGGGUGAGUAACGCGUGAGAAUCUGCCCUCAGGAGGGGGAUAACGGCUGGAAACGGCCGCUAAUACCCCAUAUGCCGCGAGGUGAAAUGAGUUUCGCCUGAGGAUGAGCUCGCGUCUGAUUAGCUAGUUGGUGGGGUAAGAGCCUACGANGACGACGAUCAGUAGCUGGUCUGAGAGGAUGAUCAGCCACUCUUCCUCUGAGACACUGACCAGACUCCUACGG
rnacentral:rRNA from 1 species